rnacentral:lncRNA from 1 species
CACGUUAGAUCACUAUCAAAUUCAGCAUUAAUCUUAUGGGAAAUAUCAGCCAUGUUGAGUUUCUUAUCCACCAUCAUUUCUCUGUUUAACUCUAUGCGAAGCAACCACGGAGAGAUCUUGUCGGGGUCAACAUCAUCAUCUGGCAUCUCAAAGUAGGACGUCACAAAUUCAACAUCUUCCUCAAUAAUAGUGCUCUUAGGAUCUGGAUCGUACCAUACCUCUGUUGCUUGUGUUACACUCCGCAAGGUUGUAUACUCCAGAGCGCACUGGACAUUUUUGGCCUUCUCCUUAGUUUUGCUUACACCAGGCUUCAAGUAUACCGAGAGNAGGUAAUCUGUUUCUGCAUACACAGCAGCAUCAAGAAGAAUGUCCACUGUUCUCAAAGGAGCAUCUCAUCAUGGGGCCAGUAUCGUUGCGAUUGAUACCAUGACGGGUGAUGGCCAUCAAGUGACCACGAUAUGUCAUGGUAUCACACAAUAUAGCCAAAAUGUCUAUAGUUCACGUAAGACCCAUCAAAUGAUAUGACAACACGCAACUCAUCCAGCAAGGCUUUGCGAACUGCCUCAAUGCCAAGAACUUCAAUAACUUCAAUCAAAUGAUUGCUUGUUGUCCUACUUGCAUCUACAUCUUCAUGGCAAAUUACAGCUAAAAGAUUAACACCUUCGGUGUCAAGCAUCCACUCAUUCUCAGCCUUGAAGCCUUCAUUUUCAUCAAACUUAUUUACCUUGCCAUUCUUUAUGAACACCUUAUUGAUAUCUGGUAUGCCUCGAAGAGCCAUUUCUGUAAGCAUGUUACCCUCUAAUCUUUUUGUAGGAAGACAUCAUCCUCAGCAGAUUCAUCAUUCAACUCACCUUUAGGGGCUUCAUCAUUCAUAAUACGAAUACGAAGGAUAAGCUUUUCAGCAUUAUCAUCAUUAAAUAUGCACGUUAGAUCACUAUCAAAUUCAGCAUUAAUCUUAUGGGAAAUAUCAGCCAUGUUGAGUUUCUUAUCCACCAUCAUUUCUCUGUUUAACUCUAUGCGAAGCAACCACGGAGAGAUCUUGUCGGGGUCAACAUCAUCAUCUGGCAUCUCAAAGUAGGACGUCACAAAUUCAACAUCUUCCUCAAUAAUAGUGCUCUUAGGAUCUGGAUCGUACCAUACCUCUGUUGCUUGUGUUACACUCCGCAAGGUUGUAUACUCCAGAGCGCACUGGACAUUUUUGGCCUUCUCCUUAGUUUUGCUUACACCAGGCUUCAAGUAUACCGAGAGAGAGGGUGUUUUAAUUUUCUUAGCAACAUUAAUAAUCUCCCUCAACCUUGGAACACCUAAAGUUAACAAUUCUUGGCACUCACACCAGCAUAGUGAAAUGUAUUGAGGGUCAUCUGUGUAGCAGGUUCACCAAUGGAUUGUGCAGCAACACAUCCUAUCAUUUCACCAGCAGCAACAAGUGACUGAAGAAAACGGGAUUCUAUCUCGCCAACUACCCAGUCAAAAGCCUCACGGGUAAGUCUGUACUCCUUCAGGACCCUUUUACUUGCUAAAGCACUACGAAGCAAUAUAUUGAAGAAAAGAGUAGCAUUCUUCUGUGCUUCCAAACUCAGAUAAUCAUCACCAACAACCACCUUAAGCCUUUCUUGUAACUUAUCAACAGCUUCUACAAUCUCCAUUGGAUGCAUAUCAGACGGUCUCCGAAAAUCAACUCUAAAGGUCUUCUGUGCAUUCAAAACAAGCCUCUUGAUGUUGACAGGGAGGGGCCAAGAAUUGUCACCCGUGGUGGCAAUCUCUGUUCCAAGUUGAUACCUAUCGGCUUCAAGUUUCUGAACCUCUGCAUCAAACACACUGCGGAUUUCACGAAUCGUUUUCAGAUCUUCCACAGCUUCAGGUAACAUAUAAUUAGGAUUCCAGUUUGGGUGAUCAAUCUCAUAUUUGUACAUGUCAUUGAAAUCCGAUCUCUUCAACUUCAGUGAUUCCAAAGGCUGUGAUUCAAUCCAAACUGCAUCCAUACCAUCUUCCCCGUACAGAAACUGAAUCACAUCACCUAACGAAUUCCUAACAGUCCCAUCAUACUUAACCAUGAUAUCUUCCAUAGCCUUCACCAAUCGCCUCUGAAUAUAUCCAGUCUCAGAAGUUUUCACUGCAGUGUCAAUAAGACCUUCCCUACCACCCAUGGCAUGGAAAAAGAACUCUUGAGGAGACAAUCCUCGAAGAUAUGAGUUCUCCACAAAACCACGACUCUCUGGACCAUAAUCAUCUUUGGUGAAGUGUGGAAGUGUGCGAUCCACAAAACCAAAAGGAAUUCGCUUGCCUUCAACAUUCUGCUGACCCACACAUGCAGUCAUCUGAGAAAUAUUGAUGAAACUUCCCUUAGACCCUGCAGUGACCAUAGCUUUGAGGUUGUUACUUUCUGCCAAGCUCUUCUGAGCACUGCUUCCAGCAUCAUCACGAGCCUUAUUCAACACCUGAAGGCACAAAACAUAUAUAAGGGAAUCACCAGGCUGCAGCAAGGAAAUCAAAAUUUUUAACAAACCUGGUUAACUCUGUUCUCGAACGAUUCCAUCAUUGUUCUUCCUGGCUCAGCUUCCAAUUGCUUUUCUUGUGCAGCCCUGAUAAGUUCAUUCACCUCAUUCUUAGCUUUGUUAAUAGUUUCAGAGAUCUUCGUCAUUGUAUCAUGAUCAGCAAUUGUAUCUCCAAUUCCCAUGCUAAAAGCGUUCUGCAAAAGCCAAUAAUUGACCAGCCAUUGUGUAUGUCCCAAAAAUUUCCGAGCUGCAUCUGGACCGACUUCUUCCCUGAGACCAGUAUACAUUAUAUUAAACACAUAAAUAUGAAUAAAGAAUCUUUCGGGCUUUCAGUUCAUUAUUAUAAUAUUUAUUACUCCUUGUUUCAUGUGCCAUAUCAUAUGUUUUGAUGUCACAAAUGCUAUAAUAUUCACACAGAAGAGCUACUAGAGUGGAGGAAGACUGAUAUAUGCAAAAGCUAAAUUGUUAAAGAGUACAGAAAUUUUCAAUAAGAUACUCAUGUAGUUUUAAACUUCUGAAGAAAAUUAAUCUUCUCUUCUACAAAUUCCGAUGGAGUAAGCAAAGGAACACUUUCUUGAAAUGGCAUUAGUUUUAUUGAUAUCUAUAAUGAGUGCAAGCAUGGAGAUUGAUAAAGUGUUUUGUCUGCAAAGAAACAGUACCCAUUUUUUUGUGCCAAAAGGAGAAUCUUUUUGCUAGUGAAAAGAGAGGGUAUUUCAUUGGUAACUCAAGCAAGUUCUUUUGAAAGUAUUACUUCUUCAAUCAACAUAUUGCGAGUUCUGACUCAUUUGCGAGAUCCUAGAAUAUAUAAAUAAAAGACACCAACUUCAUUUAAAGUAUUUGCAUACAUAUGCUCCCAAUCCCCAUUGCCCAUAGAGCAAUGGACCAAUUUAAUACAACAUGAAUUCUUCAGAAGAUAAAAGUGAAAGUCAUGCUUUUGCUCUUAAAUUUAAGGUUGAACGAAAAAUGUGACCCGCAAACAGCCCCAUACCUCCAUUUUACCCAACUUUCCACUUAUUACAUUUUGCUACUAGAUACUUCAGGUAUGUUACCCGCAAUCAGCCCCAAUUCAUAAUAUGGAUAAGUUGGGUGGGCGUUUAGGAGACAAUAGUUUCCUUUCAAAACCCACCAAAUGCAGAAAUGGUACUGCAAAAAUUCCAGAAAGAACGUACCAAAUAACAUGUAUGAGACUUCCACUAGAUGACCCGAGUGUUUUCUUGCAUAGGGUGCCUGAAAGUAACUCCCCUUUUUCUAUCCGUACUUGAGUAUCCCCAGGAGUAAUAAAUCCUUUUUCAGUUUCUUGAUGCCAUGAAGAAUACCUUAAUAGAUUUAUCUGUCUUGGAAUGAUUAAAUUAAAUACUUGUUUCCCAGUCCAAAGAGGCUUAGGUUUCAGAAUUGUUGGAGCAGGUACUUUGCCAUCAAAAUCCUCCCACCACAUAAGGAUGUUCAUAAAAACAUCCUGCGAACAAUACAGACAGCGAUAUCAGAUUGAAUGUGGACACUUACCUAAAAAUUACAUAAUGAUGACAGAAAAUCAAAUGUUACCUUGUCAAUAAAAGUAUCUCUCUUAGUGAUUUUGCGACAUCCUAGUAGUGUAUCCUGCACAAUACCCAUUACAGGUCGAUUUGAUUGAGGUGACACGAUGCAUUUUGGAACCAUCAUUAAUUCCAGAACUUCGGCUCUAGUUUCAAAUGACUGGGGCACGUGCAUAUUCAUUUCAUCUCCAUCAAAAUCAGCAUUGUAGGGUGAGGUAACAGACAGAUUUAAGCGGAAUGUUGAAUAUGGCAUAAUCUUGAUUCUGUGGCCCAUAAUGGACAUCUUAUGGAGACUCGGUUGCCGAUUGAACAGGACAAAGUCUCCAUCAUUUAAAUGUCUCUCAACCUGUACCAUCAAAUAAUAGGAAUCAGGUGUCAAAAGGAAUCCAAUGCUUGAUCAUUCUCAAUUAUAUAGCUGGGAGUCUCACCUUAUAUCCAAGUUCUAGAUGCUGAUCACUACUCUUUUUCAAGUACCGGAGAUCAAGCCUCUGUCCAUCAUCCCUAAUAAUAUAUUUUGCGCCAGUUUUACCAGGAGGGGGAUGAGGUCCAUAUUCCACAAGCUCUUUCAAUCUAUUUUCAAGGUCAAUAUCUGGUUAACAAGAAUAACCAAAAAGUAUAGAGGGAUCACUAUCAAGAAAUAUGGUAAGAGUGCCUAACCUUUCGAUGUUAUAUGGAGUUACAGUUUCAGGAUAUGUAAGAUUUAAGGCAAUACUCCAAGGCACACCCAGCUGGUCGAUGUUGAUUGUUGGGUCAGGUGUAAUCACAGUCCGAGCCGAAAAAUCUACUCGCUUACCCAUCAAGUUACCUCUGAUCCUACCAUCUUUUGCCUUAAGCCUGCUACAUAUUGAUUUAAUGGGUCUGCCAGAUCUUUGGGUAGCCUGAUGUAUACAAGGAUACUUCACUUGUUAGAUAAAUGAUGUUCCAGGAACUGCAUCCACAGUCUCAAUAUACUGAAAUAAUAUAACAUACUCUUGGUUGACCAGGUAAAUCGUUAUCAAAGUAUGUAGCCACAUGGAACUGCAGCAACUGUGCAAACUCAGAGAUGAUGUGUGCAGGAGCCCCAUUCCGCUCCUGCCUCUUUAAGUUCUCAUUAUGCCUAAUGAUCAUGGCCAGUUGAUGAGUUAAAUCAUCCUGCAUAAAUUGAUUCAAUUAUUAGAUUCUCCUGCAACUUAAAAGCAGCAAUCCGAGGAACAUGCAAUUGAUUGACUUGAUCAGUUUGCAGUGAACAGAACCCGAUACACUUAUCUGACCUAAAGGAACAAUUAGGGGUAAUCUAAACACCCAUGACAUUGUAGAGAUCAAAAGGAGAAGUCAUGCCUCACUCCGAGAAGAAGUAUCCAUCAUUACAGAAGGCCUAACUGGAGGAGGAGGGAUUGGAAGAACUUGAAGAAUCAUCCAGUCAGGGCGAGCAUAUUUUGGAUUCAAGCCCAACAACUGACAAUCUUCAUCAGUAAUUCUCUUCAGUAUGCUGAGCACCUGAAACAAAAAGGAAAUAGAGAUUGUUGGGAUUAGCGCAUAAAUCAAUCUAUCACAUUAUCCAGGCUGGAAAAAAAAGUUUGAAUCCCUAUUCUCUGGCAAUUUAUGAUAUAUGAUACCUUCUCUGCAGAGAGAAGUUGUUUUCGUUCAACAGGUUCAGGCAUCUGGUCCUGGUCAUCACUUUUCUUCUUCUGAAUCUUGUAUUCAGCAACCAUUUUCAUCCCAUCUAUAGAAAUCUUUGGCUGCUGAGCACCGCAUCCACCCCUAGACUUCUUCACAGGUUCUUCCGAAUCUUGACCUCGCACAUCGAUCUCAUCACCUCCUUCACAUUUGGAUUUGUUUUUGCAGGCAUCUAAUAUCUUCUUUAAUCUAUUCUUAGGGUUUCUAAUUCUCAUUGCUUGCUUGAACUUGGGAUCGUCCUAGAAAAAUUAACAAGGGAUCAAAAUACAUUGCAAAAGAAAACGAUUGUUCCAACUUCCAAGUAACUUUAUUUCCAUUUGAAGUAUAAUAUUCAGGCAAUAAUGAAAAUAACUAACUUUUACAACAGCAACACUCCUAGGAGAUGCAUCCAGAUGAUGAAAUACCUCAAACUGCUUCUAUCUUACCAAUAUGCAUUUCUAUAAAAGUAACACAAUUAUUGAAGACAUAACAGAACCUAGAAGCCUAAAACUGGAUCGUUGCUAGUCAUAAGUCUUACUAUCCAGUCACUCUUGCAAGUAAUAAGAAUGUUACAAUUAAAUCAGUUGCCCAGUUCAGGAUGGUCAUGAAUAAGACAGAAGUCUGACCCUCCUAGUAUACGAACAUAUACAUGAAAUAAGCAUUUUCCGUGAAUCCAGCAUAUGUUAUACACUUCUGAAAAAUUCAGUCUGCUACUCAGGCCUCACAACAGCGGAAUCAAUAGUCAUACCCAAUAUGAACCAAGUGAGCAUGACUGUACAAAUUCAUACUACUUAAACCGAAAACGUCCAUAACUUCAAUCUAACUACUCGGGAAAUGUACAAUACCUCAUCCGCUAAAAUCUUAGAGCAAUUGAAGCAGACACUGCGGAGAAUACUGAGCACAGUCUUCAUGAAGCCAAUGUGAAACAUAGGUUUGGCGAGCUCAAGGUGACCGAAGUGACCGGGGCAGUCAGCCAUGUUCGCCAUACAAGUCUCGCACUUCAUCUUCCGAUCAAUCGUCCCCAGACGCGGGUCGCUCAAACCACCGAUCUUCGGCUUGCCUCUUUCCGUCGUCUCGCUGUGCUCUAUAUGCACAACAGACAUUUGUCUCUACAAAACACACCAUAAAACAAUAGACCAUCAUUUCCAACUCAAUCACACACUCAAUGCCGAAACUGAAAGUUCAAAACAUUCAAAGAAGUGAGAAUUACGAUCUCAUCGGGGCUGAGAAUGCCGAAUUGGACGACGCGGACUUUCGCGACCUCUGCCGGCGAGAAGGGGAACCGCAGAUCCAUUGCGACACCGGAGAUUCUACCCUAGGGUUUUCGAUUAUGAUUUAUUAUGCUAGCUGAUAUAUAAUAAUUCCAAAAUUAGAAACAAAUAUGGUUUUCAAGUACUUCAAAUUAUUCGCGGUUUCUGUUAAGUAACUGAUUUUUGGGGUUUUUGAAGAAAACUUUUUUCACGCUGCGCUCUUCUCUGAAGGAGGAGAGGCGGCUUUGAGACCAAAGAAGAGAAUGAGGGGUUGAAGGGGUAUUUAAAGAGAUGGAUGGCUUCGAAGUCGGCGCUUAAUGGGGUUGUUUGGCUACACAGUUAUGAGCUGGACAUCUUCCUCUCGUUUGGUCCAUCUAUUAAAAAAUCUUCUUAAUCUAUUUUUAAACAUAAUUUCAUCAACUAUUAUCCUUAUAAUUUUCAUUUUUUGUAAGACUCAUUUUUCACUUAUCAAGUAUACAAUUAAUUUUUAUUAAAAUUCAUGUCACCCUCCUUUAUAAAGAUCUUUGAGAAAUGAAGGGAGUGUUAAUUCCAAAUAUUUGGUAAAAUAAGUACAUAAAUACUCAUUUCGUCCCAACUUUUAGUAUCAAUUUAAGAAUGACACGUGUUUUAAUAAAGUUGUUAAGUGUGUUGUGAGUGGAAUAAGGGUCUCGCAUUUUACGUGAAUGUUAAAAUAAUUAAAGUGGAGUAAGGGUCUCACCUACUUUUACUAAAAAUAAAAAUGAAUAUCAAAAUAUGGAACGGCCAAAAAAGGAAAUAUGAAUACUAAAAGUUGGGACGAAGAUAGUAGUUUACAAGCUCUACAAAUAAGUUUCUACAAUUUAUAAGCUUUUCAAACUACAAACUUUUUACCAUAAAUUACUUUUUCAUAAUUUUAUACUUCCUUCAUCCCAAUUCNCUUAUAAUUUUUCAUUUUUUUGUAAGACUCAUUUUUUCACUUAUCAAGUAUACAAUUAAUUUUUAUUAAAAUUCAUGUCACCCUCCUUUAUAAAGAUCUUUGAGAAAUGAAGGGAGUGUUAAUUCCAAAUAUUUGGUAAAAUAAGUACAUAAAUACUCAUUUCGUCCCAACUUUUAGUAUCAAUUUAAGAAUGACACGUGUUUUAAUAAAGUUGUUAAGUGUGUUGUGAGUGGAAUAAGGGUCUCGCAUUUUACGUGAAUGUUAAAAUAAUUAAAGUGGAGUAAGGGUCUCACCUACUUUUACUAAAAAUAAAAAUGAAUAUCAAAAUAUGGAACGGCCAAAAAAGGAAAUAUGAAUACUAAAAGUUGGGACGAAGAUAGUAGUUUACAAGCUCUACAAAUAAGUUUCUACAAUUUAUAAGCUUUUCAAACUACAAACUUUUUACCAUAAAUUACUUUUUCAUAAUUUUAUACUUCCUUCAUCCCAAUUCAAUAGGCCACAAGACAAGGCUUGGACAUGGAUAUUAAGAAGCGAAUAGUUUAUAAUAAAAUACGAGAGAGAAAGUAGCUUUUUUUAGAGUAAAUUUGUGAAAAAAGUAGGAGAGAGUAGAGAUAAUUUUGUGGGAUCACAAUGAUAUUUGAUGUACAUAAUGAGUUGUGCGAAGGUGUUUGUUAUAUACUAUGAUUUUUUAUUUUAGGAAGUGACCUAUUGAAUUGGAACGUCCAAAUAAGGAUUCAUGACAUAUUUAAAUGGAACUGAGGGAGUAAUAUAUUUUACAAAAAUUAUUCAAUUAUACUUUAUUACUAUUUUCAUCAUAUACACUUUAAACCACUUUGCAAAAAUUAACUCAAUCAUAUAAAUACUUUCACAACUUAUAAGCUCUUACAAAAAUACAUUUUUAAAAUUUUUGAAACAUUUUAUAAAUUGCUACAAUUAUAAAUUUCUUAAAAUAAGCUUAUCCAAACAUCCCCUUAAUUCUACAACAAAAUUUUAACAAAUGGAGUAUAAAUGAGCUAUGAUUGGUAACAUAUUUUUCCUACAAAAAUAAUAAGCGAUAGGUAACAUAACUAGCGUGGGAACUAAGAAUCAAUCUGGUCUAUUAAUUUGAUUAAAUGAUCAUGAUUGAUUUCCAUAUUGAACAAUACAUAUAUAUGAUAAUGCAUCAGUUUAUGCCAGAAAUUAUGCCAUGCUGAUAAAUAAUACUCCAUUCGUCCCAAACGAAAUGUCCUAUUUCUUUUCGGUACGGAAAUUAAGAAAUGUGUAUAAAAUAGAUUAAGUGGGUUGGUGAAAAUUAUUUAAAUAUUAAGUAUAGAGAGAGAGUGUAGUGCCAAAAAAGGAAACAUGACAUUUCGUUUGAGAUAGCCCAAAAAGGAAAACAGUACAUUUCGUUUGGAACGGAGGGAGUAUAGUGCAUACUUAUAAUAAACAACGUAGUUUUAAGUGUGGUGCCCACUUCGGGGGAGCUUGUUGGAUUUAUAAUAAACGACGUAGUUUUCAUAUAUACAAAAAAUCCUCUUCCAUUGAGAUGGUUUCUUACAUUCUUGGCUUCAGCUGCGCAUGGCUUAUCUAUGCAUGCAUUAUUUUAGUUAUAAGCAAUUUAGUAAAUAAAAUAACAAAAUGGAUGGAUUAACAUUGCCACAAAACAUGAUGACACUAUUAGUAUUUUACUUCAAAGGGGAAGAAAAAAAAACUUUAUACGAAUGAAAGAAUGCCAUGUUAAACAAUCUCUCUUAGCCAAAUUGGAAAGCUAUGAGACCAAACAAAUGGACUACAAAUUAAAAAAGAGGUUAUAAAGUGACACGGGACUUAUACGCCACGUGCGGAGUUCAGCUGCCCGACUGCCGGAGUUCAGCUGCCCGACUGCCGGCCUGGUAUGAAAAUGAUUGGGUUAGGGUAGGGUGUCCCAUGCAACAAAUCCUCAUUCCACCUUCCCUUUGUCAGUUUCAUUUACCACACUAAGCCAUGUAAACAAUACCAACACAAUCACAAAAUCAGCAAAUCUAUUCGAACUCGCUUGGCCUAUGGUGAAAGCAGGAUGGAAAAGAAAGCAAAAUAAGCAAAGGUAAAUAUACCUGCUUGGACUGGAAGGAGAAAAAGAUGGUGAUGUUGGGCUGCAAAACCACAGAAAAUAAUAUGUCAAGGUAGCAUUUGAAAGAGAGUUUCACCAGUUCAGAAUAUAUCCUAGUCUUGUCGGGGAAAUAAAACAAAAAGAGUAAUACUCUAGGGAACAAUUUAUCCAGCUUCCUCUGUGGACAAUCAAGUAUAGAAACAGAGUAAUACAUUUAACCAAGGUUAUAUUUGUUAGCAAACUUGAAGAGCAAAAAUUAAAAUAAGGCUUGCCAAAAGUUACCUGAGACUCGGAGAAUAUGGACUGUACGGACUUGAAGGUGUGAUUUUUGGACUUGUAGGUGAAUAUGCUUGUGAAGGGCUAUACCUUGCUGAAGGAUUGUAACUUGGUGAGGUCAGACUGUAAGUCGGUGAGGUGGGACUGUAUCCAGGUGAAGUUGGGCUGUAGGCAGGAGAGGUAGGGCUGUAUGAAGGUGAGGUUGGGCUGUACGAUGGAGAGGUUGGGCUGUAAGAUGGUGAGGUUGGGCUGUAAGAGGGAGACGUGGGGCUGUAAGCCGGAGAAGUUGGGUUAUAAGCAGGUGAGGUUGGGCUGUAAGAGGGAGACGUGGGGCUGUAAGCCGGAGAAGUUGGGCUAUACGCAGGUGAGGUUGGGCUGUAUGCUGGAGAAGUUGGGCUGUAGCUCGGAGAUGUAGGGCUGUAGCUCGGAGAUGUGGGGCUAUAGCUAGGAGAUGUUGGGCUGUAGGAAGGAGACGUUGGUGAAUAAGAUGGGCUUGUGGGAGAAUAGGCAGGGCUUGUAGGACUAUAUCCAGGAGAACUAGGACUAUAUGUUGGGGACGUAGGGCUGUAACCAGGGGAAGUAGGACUGUACCCAGGUGAGGUGGGGCUGUAUCCAGGAGAUGACGGGCUGUACCCUGGAGACGAUGUAGGAGAAAACGCCAUCCCGCCCACAUACGGAGAAAACUGAGCAUCUGAAACAGGAGAUAACCGAAGAUUUGGGCUCAGCAUAUAAUUUGGUGACAUCAUGCCAUCAUGAUAUGGGGUCCCUGAGAUGGGUGAACGGCCAGGAGUCAUGCCAAACUCCAGUCCACCUUCCAUAUAACUGGGCAGAGGGAUCUCCAUAGCUUGUUUUAGCAUCUCUUCAUUCAUAUACAAAGCACAAUCACCUGUGCCAAUAGGUGCAAGCUGUCCUAACAUGAUAUUCUCAGUGACACCCCUGAGGUAAUCUGUUUCUGCAUACACAGCAGCAUCAAGAAGAAUGUCCACUGUUUCUUCAAAGGAGCAUCUCAUCAUGGGGCCAGUAUCAUUGCGAUUGAUACCAUGACGGGUGAUGGCCAUCAAGUGACCACGAUAUGUCAUGGUAUCACACAAUAUAGCCAAAUGUCUAUAGUUCACGUAAGACCCAUCAAAGAUAUACAACACGCAACUCAUCAGCAAGGCUUUGCGAACUGCCUCAAUGCCAAGAACUUCAAUAACUUCAAUCAAUGAUUGCUUGUUGUCCUACUUGCAUCUACAUCUUCAUGGCAAAUUACAGCUAAAAGAUUAACACCUUCUGUGUCAGCAUCCACUCAUUCUCAGCCUUGAAGCCUUCAUUUUCAUCAAACUUAUUUACCUUGCCAUUCUUUAUGAACACCUUAUUGAUAUCUGGUAUGCCUCGAAGAGCCAUUUCUGUAAGCAUGUUACCCUCAAUCUUUUUGAGGAAGACAUCAUCCUCAGCGAUUCAUCAUCACUCCUUAGGGUCUUCUCAUUCUAAUACGAAUACGAAGGAUAAGCUUUUCAGCAUUAUCAUCAUUAAAUGCAAGAUACAUCAAAUCAAUUAAUCUUAUGGAAAAUAUCAGCCAUGUUGAGUUUCUUAUCCACCAUCAUUUCUCUGUUUAACUCUAUGCGAAGCAACCACGGAGAGAUCUGUCGGGGUCAACAUCUCAUCUGGCAUCUCAAAGUAGGACGUCACAAUUCAAUAUCUUCCUCAAUAAUAGUGCUCUUAAGAUCUGGAUCGUACCAUACCUCUGUUGCUUGUGUUACACUCCGCAAGGUUGUAUACUCCAGAGCGCACUGGACAUUUUUGGCAUUCUCCUUAGUUUUUCUUACACCAGGCUUCAAGUAUACCGAGAGAGAGGGUGUUUUAAUAUUCUUAGCAACAUUAAUAAUCUCCCUCAACCUUGGAACACCUAAAGUAACAUUCUUGGCACUCACACCAGCAUAGUGAAAUGUAUUGAG